CAGUAGCCGCGGUAAUACAGAGGAUGCAAGCGUUAUCCGGAAUGAUUGGGCGUAAAGCGCGCGUAGGCGGUUUUCUAAGUCUGAUGUGAAAGCCCACGGCUCAACCGUGGAGGGUCAUUGGAAACUGGAAAACUUGAGUGCAGAAGAGGAAAGUGGAAUUCCAUGUGUAGCGGUGAAAUGCGCAGAGAUAUGGAGGAACACCAGUGGCGAAGGCGACUUUCUGGUCUGUAACUGACGCUGAUGUGCGAAAGCGUGGGGAUCAAACAGGAUUAGAUACCCCAGUAGUCCCUGUCUCUUAUAC
rnacentral:rRNA from 1 species